rfam:Triticum aestivum genome assembly, contig: Triticum_aestivum_CS42_TGACv1_scaffold_307649_4AS
UUUGUACUCCCUCCGUCCCAAAUUUCUUGUCUUAAAUUUGUCUAAAUACGGAUGUAUCUAGUUACAUUUUAGUGUUAGAUACAUCCGUAUCUAAACAAAUGUAAGACAAGAAUUUUGGGACGGAGGGAAUACUAC